UGCUUAGGUCUAGGAUCAUGAAACUUAAUAGGUACAUUGAUCAUGACUUGCAGAUGACCCCUAUUGAUUUUCAGGUCACUAGGUCAAAGGUCAAGGUCACGGUGACUCAACUUAGAAAAAUGGUUUCCGGAUGAUAACUCAAGAACGCUUAUGCCUAGGAUCAUGAAACUUCAUAGUGGCUGCUGAGUCAGGACAACAAUGAUGAGGAUGUGGUGGACAAGAAUGACCUGAGUACGCAGAAGCAACUGCUCAGCACAGAAGAUGACUGUCUGAUGAAAAGGCUCAGCCGUAUCACAGUCCAGUGAUGAGGGGGGAUGAUGCGGUCGUUCCAUGUCUUAAGAUCACAUCAUGAAAGACAUUUUAGCUGACACUUGGAAGGGAGAGAACUGAAGAUCUGCAACAGCAGUGAGCAUGAGCAUUGUUAUCGAGUUGACGUGGCAACAGCACCAGUCGGACCCCCAGGAGCCUCAGUCCAGGACAACCCUUCCCCUCCCAUGACCCAUCGCUCCACCCCUUUGACCUCCUGCCUCUUUGAACAAUACCAUUCUGCUGGAAUGUCUGAGCAUGUUGAGUUUUCACAAGCUGUUGUCAACAACUGCCGUCUCUGUGUCGAUCGAUCAGCACUUGAGCCUGAGUAGUUUGUUAAGCUCCAGAGCCGAAAAAUAAAAAGUUGGAAACCUUGUUACAUGCUUUGUGGGACUAACAGAGCAACAGCGAAUAAUGGGAGAAAAUCAAGAAACAGUUUAAGAGUGAAAAUUGGAAGCAUUAGCUAUCGACAGGGGCUACUUCUGAUUUCAAUAGUAGAAGCAUAAUGGACCAUCCUGAUUUGUCCUCUAAUGCGUCCAAAAUGUUCAAAACGAACGUGCUUUUUACGCAGUUGCUGACAAAAAAACUUUGUUAUGAACACUCAUAGCAUGAUGAAUACAUCGAGUGUGGUUCAGGCGCAAAUUCUGCCCAUCAUCAUUAACAAGGUGCUUAAGGUGCAUCCAUCAGGGUUGUUACAAGCACUUCACACUCCAAGACAAAACGGCCUCGCAUUGAAUAGACACUAGAUAAAGCUUGAAAAAUGACAGCAGUUUUGUUGUGUGGUCAAGUAUGCCCUUUGACUCUCAACCCGACAUAAGGUAGAACUCAAACUCGGCCCUCAGCAAUAUCAGCGAGGCUAGCAGUUUUGUUGUUUGGUCCAGUAUGCACUUUGACUCUCAACCUGACAUAA